CCAGAGGGUCGGGCGACCGCCGGUACUUCGCUUGCGAGGUGCGGGAGGAAAGUCCGGGCUCCAGCGAGGAACGGUGCCGGAUAACUUCCGGCUGGGGCAACCCAAGGGAAAGUGCCACAGAAAGCAUACCGCCGCGGCUUCGGCCGGGUAAGGGCGAAAGGGUGCGGCAAGAGCGCACCGCGCGGGCGGCAACGUCAGCGGCACGGCAAACCCCACCGGGAGCAAAAUCGAAUAGGGGCGGCACAUGGCAUCCUCCUGCCAGUCGCCCGGGUUGGUUGCUUGACCCUUGUCGCAAGACACGGGCUAGAGGAAUGGUCGCCUAUCCCUUCGGGGUGGACAGAACCCGGCUUACAGACCCUCUGGCACU
rnacentral:RNase_P_RNA from 1 species